GUACUAGAAAUGCAAACUUGCGUUGUAAUUUGUGUUGUUUCUUCUUUCUGGAACAAUAAGUGACUUUGACUACUACUUCUUCUGUCUUUCUUUAUCUGUCCUCACACAGACCGAUGCUGAGUGCUGCAGCUGCUUCUGCGGGACAGGACGACCCCUAUGUGUCCUGCUCACAGACAGAGCUCCCAUGAGACACAAGGGAGGAUGAAUACUCUCUCCUUGCCCCACACCGUCUCCCUCAGCCCACCCCCAUUUUCUCUCCAUCGCCUGGACUGAGUCUGAGGCUGCCACACGCACCGGCUGCAAUGCCCUUCGGCCUUGGACAGUCUGGUUCCAGCUCCACCGAAGCUCUUAAUAACUGAGAAAGCCAAACAUGAGGGCCCGUUGGCUGCAGCCGUACCCAUCAGCCCCCACCCACAGGCCCCCGGACUAACCCACAGGCCUCUCUGUCUGCUGCUGAGCUUUGGAAACAGCUGUGCAGUCAUAACAGAGUGUGUGCCCAGACUCAACUCAUGUUUUUUGUUGCUUCAAAGGCAAUCUGAUACACCAUCCCCUGAAACACGCAGACACAAUCACACGCACAUGCUUGCCCACAUGUAUAUUCACAGCAUGUACAAACAGUGCUAAGAUGAAAUGUUCAGGAUACCAGUCUUGCCAAAUCUAAAACCACAUAAUUAAGAGAAAUUAUCUUAAGUUUAAGGUGCAUAACAUAAACUGGACAACAUGGGUUGAUUUGAAAAUUUACCCUUUUCUAACUACCUAUACAUAUUCACCACAGGUUCUGACUGAAAUGAACACUAGUGGCAGUAAAACACCAACAACUUUUAAUCCUUUUCACACAAAUUGUUUAUGGGGACAGAUCAUCAAUCUUGCAAGGUUCCUCAAACAGUAUCAAGAAGGCUUUUACUAUAAAGCAUGAUUUGUAACCCAUUACAUUUUGACAUUUUUUUCAAUAAAAAACUCAAGCUAUAGUACAAGCAAGCUAUAAUAGCAUGAUUGCAUGGAACUAUGUUUUUAUCUCCCAUUUGCUUUUGUUAACACUAUCUGUUAGAUUUAGUGCUUAUAGUGUUUAUUUUCGAAGGAUCGUUAGCCUUUUAGCACCACUCACCGGACAUUUCGUUUCAUCUGUUGCAAUACGUACAACAUAGAACAUAUUAAAAUUGCAAUCAAGUUGCCAGUUUCACAUUAAUCUGCUAUAGAUUAAAACUGAGCAUGCUUUUAGUGCAACUCAAAGGACAAUUCACUUCGAAAGUGUUGCGGAACCUGCAACAAGUAACGAAGUUACUCUGCAAACAUUAAAUGUGGAAUUACUAAUAGAAAAAAUUAAAAAUGUCAAUUUUGGGCAAGGUUGUGUGCCUGUGACUUUUUUAAAUUAGAGGAAAAUGGCAUGAAAUUGGCAAAAUGACUUUGUAGAGUGAAUUGUAAGUGCACUUUUAAGGGCUGAUUCAUGCCUUUUACAGGCUUACAGGACUUCCAUGGGCUCCUUAUAAUUUUCAAAUAUGUUUAAUUGGUUUCCGUUGGCUUGAGUUCAUUAACUGCAGGUAACUCAUAUUAGAUAAGCUGGUGUGAGUUUCAAAGCCUUGACAGUUUCAUUUAAACAAAGCCACCACUGACAAUGAGAAAAGAUACCAAAAAUGUAACGCUCCACUCUGAGGAAAGGCACCCUGCUGCCUGCUGAGAGAACACUCGAAGAUUCACUUCAUAUGCAUUCUACAUUACGAGUACCUACGACGAGAAUUAGUGGAAUUAAUAUAUAUAAGGAAAAAACUGCACACAGGGGACAAUUUUAUCACCUGCUACCUAAUGGGGAAUAAAUAACAUAUUUUGUUGACUUUUGACAAAACACAAAGUACAAUUAUGGAUUAAUUUGACACCAUUUUAAAUCAUGUAAACUUUACAGCUUAUGUUAAAAAGUGUCUAUAUCAACUUGCUAAGAACAGGAAAAACUGCAACGCACAAGAUGGCGGCUCAAAGGUGAUGCAAGUCCCGCCUUCUAAAAAAAGAGCCAAUCACCAGUUAGUAUAGUCAUUGCCACUGCAACUGCCAUUAGAAGCAUCAAUUAACAGAAACCUGAGACUCGCGCUUAGGACUGCACAUGCAUUUAGGGGACCGAUCUAAAUCAAGAGCUAUUUGAGUGUAAAUAAAAUUAAAUUUGACAUUAACUAUCCCAUAAAAGGCCAGCAGUUAUCUCCUCAUUCAAGUAGUCGCUGAAAAUAGCUGCCUGGAGGUCUUGCAAAUAUGGCCACUGAACCAACUGACUUUUCUCGAAAGGGACUUUGUUUAAAACUAGUUUUACAAUCAUUAGUAUAUCCCUGAUGUCACGUUCUACAAAUAAUUCACCUUAUUCACAAUGAAGCAGGCUUUUCAAUUCAGUGCUAAAAUUUAGGACACGCUUCUUUUGUCUAACCGAUACGUUAACAUGCCGAAAUGUCAGCGUUAAUCCCUAAUGAACAACCCAAAGACAAACUGCUAGUUUAAACAAAGCGGAACGCUGGUAGAAGCAGCAUGCUAGGCUUUCUUUUGCGCUCUCCUUCCCUCCCUCCCCCAGCAAGUCCAACACAUAGGGAGAGAAAGGGAGAGAUAGAGCGAACUACAGAGGCACACAAAGGCGGGCGCUAGCUUUCCAUCGCUGGCUUACUAAUCGGCUCCUUUGUUGUGCUCGACGCAUGCCUGUCCCUGUCACAUGACUGCGUUCCAUGGCUACCGAGGUCUGAGUAAUCAUUUGCGCAAUUGACUGCGUUUCCAUGGCUACCGAGGUCUGAGUAAUCAUUUGCGCAAUGACCUUUAUUCCCUUGAGGGAAGAGGAGGGGGAGGUUAGAAUGAAAGCAGAGCCAGCAAAAAGCAGGGAGAGGCGGAGGGAGGAAGGGAGGGGGGAGAACUGGUGAGCAGUGGAGCGAGGCAAUGGGGACCUAGACAAGAAAAAGAGGAGAAGGGAAAAAAGCAAACUGAUUUUCUCUUAGCAGUACUGAGAAGAAUCCGUUGGGUUUGGUUAGAUAACGAACAGAGCACGCAAAACAGGCUGAGAGGGAGAGGAGGGAACGAGGGAUGCAGCGGUGCUGGAAGAGAUAGCUAGAGAUAGAGACCGGCCAACUGUGUGAAAAGAGGAAUGAGCUUUGCGCUCAAGCCGCUUGAAUGAAAGAACCUUAUAAACCCAACGGCAGCCUCUCUAUGGUCCGACGGUUCCCACAUUGAAGACAAACACGCUAGCUGUUAACGCGAUGCCAAACCUGCGCUGGACACGGUUUGAGCGCAAGACUAAUAGUCUACCAAUGACUGCACAAACUCUGUCAUGAUAAUCACUUCUGAAAUCUCCCACACAUGAACGUUAUGCCUGAGAGAUGAAUAAUGAUAAUGGCGGAAUACAUGCUAAAUGGUUAUUGCUGAUGAGCACCUUUGUUUACAUCUACUCCCCAGUUAUGCUGUAGCUAUCACACAGAAUGAGCCCGGCAUGGAUGACACAUGCUGACAGUCUAAGCUCAGUCAUGUUUGGGUCACUGAGUUUCUCAUUCGUUCUCUUUUUCGCUUAGUUGUUUCUGCUUUGCCCUUUUCUGAUGAGUAUUAUGCUAAUGCUUUUGUGAGAAAAUUCAGUUAGCUACUCUCUUCGCACACACUCGCAGAUUCAAGAGGACCUCCUAUUGUCUCUCUCAAAGUAGUUUUUAUAUGUUUACUGUAUGGAGGGUUUAUAAACACAAAACACAGCUUUUUGUUUCAAGAAUAGAAGUGUUUAUUUAUUGCUAAGAGACCCCAAUUUUGCUUUGAGUGAUCACUUCUUAAAAUUUAAGUUUCAGCAACCUGAAUGCUGCUACAAUCCACACUCCUUCCUUAAGGGGGCAGUAGUCCUCUUUUCUGACAGCUCUCUUAAUGGCUUUUUGGGCCAGUGGAGAAGAGAUAUGAGGAUAUCACAAUAUUUUUUUGUAUAUGAAAAUGCUGUCGUAAGGGCUAUAGUUUCACUCGGAUGGGAAAGAUUUUACCAUCAAUGUGUAUUUAUUUUGCUUUAAUUCUUUAAUAGAUUUUUUUAAAAAUGUAUCCUCAAAAAGAAACAAAUAAAUAAAUAGUAAGAUUAUCAAAUUACAAUUAUCAAGUAAUACUGUAAAGCAGAAUUUACAAAGCUAUGUUUACACAAAAACUUGACACUGGUUUAACGCGAGUUCACCCUAAAAUGAAAAUUCAUCAUUUAUUCACUCAUGGUUUUCAUUGUAUAGACAGCUGAAACAUUUAUCUUUUGUGUUUUGCAAAAGAAGCAAGUCAUGCAGGUUUGGAAUAACACAAGAGUAGGUAAAUUAUAGUUUUCAUAUUUGAGUAAACUACUCCUUUAAGGCAGUCAGGCAUAAUAAGUUGAUUUUUCCAAGACUUUAUGAAAAUAGUUGUGGUUGUAUUUCUAGAACACUGAAGGACAUGGAAGCACUUCUUUGAGUUUUGACUGUUGAUAGUAUGUAGACCAUUGUGCCGUUCAGCCUUCAGCAAGGACACUUUCUGUAAGACCAUAGAAACAUAAGGAUUCACCAUGCAGACCUCAAGAGAAUGAAUAGCACCUUCCUU
rnacentral:lncRNA from 1 species